GAUGAAGAACGUAGCGAAAUGCGAUAAGUAGUGUGAAUUGCAGAAUUCAGUGAAUCAUCGAAUCUUUGAACGCACAUUGCGCCCCUUGGUAUCCCGAGGGGCAUGCCUGUUCGAGCGUCAUUUCACCACUCAAGCCUGGCUUGGUGAUGGGCGACGUCCUCUUUGGGGACGCGCCUCGAAACGCUCGGCGGCGUGGCACCGGCUUUAAGCGUAGCAGAAUCUUUCGCUUUGGAAGUCGGGGCCCCGUCUGCCGGAAGACCUGCUCGCAAGGUUGACCUCGGAUCAGGCAGGGAUACCCGCUGAACUUAAGCAUAUCAAUAAGCGGAGGA
rnacentral:misc_RNA from 1 species